GAAUGAGGUUUGAGAAGAAUGACACACGGGCUAAGGUUUACAGUAUGACAACAAUUUUAAUUAACAUAUUAAACACUUUUACACAAUAACACACAUAUUAACCAAUUAAUUGGACAAAUAACACCAACAUAACAAUAACAUAAGUCAAAUCUCAUUUUUCUUUAAAAAAAAAAAAAAAAAAAAAAAAAGAGACCACCACUCAAAUCUCAUUCCAUAUAAUAUACCAAAUUCAGAAACCAAAUAAUAAGUCUACAAAUUCAGAAACACUGACAUAACAGAUCUCAUUCCAAAUAAUAAGCACGCAAAUUCAGAAAAACUAACAUAACAGGGAUGCGCGACUCGGCCAUGUCGAUCUCUAAACCCUCUGGUAUCUCUCUCGAGGCUUUGUUUCCUCACACCACUAUCUGUUGCGCCUCUCUGGCAAUCUGGCAAGCUCUAUACCCUCUGGCUAUCUCUCCCGAGACUUGUUUCCUCACACCACUAUUAUCUUUUAUAUACUUCUUCUUUUAUAUACUUCUCCUCCUACGAAUAGAGUCCCAUUUUCUUUUUCUUUUUUUGAGGAUAAUUAGAGUCCCAUUCGAUGAAUUUCCUACCAUACUAUACACAGACACACGUUUCCUACCAUGGGGGCACGUGCCCCCACAACUAAUUUUUUUUUUUUUUAUUAGUUAUGUAUACUUCUCAAGCCCAAACUUAAUCGGUGCCCCCUUCAGAUAUUUUUAUAUGAAUUCCCAAAUCCCAAGCCCCCCAAAACCCCAAAAUCAACUCCUUUUAAGAAAUUCGGCGGCUCUGUCUAUCUCCAUUAAUUUUUUU
rnacentral:lncRNA from 1 species